AUGUCUCUUGAUCUCUUCUCCUCUAGGUUCUUGUUUUCUUCUGGCGCUGCGAAGAAGCUCCCCAGCAGGAGAAGGGUCACGUUCGUUGCUGCCGCUUCUUCGUCUCCGUCCACACCAUCGCCGCCACGGUCGCAGGAUGCCUCCUCUUCUUCCAGGCAAAGGAGUGUACGUGCCACGCCGUUGAGUCCCAGCAAAGGUGCGUCUCGACCUGCCGGUAGCAAUGGCAGGACUAGGAGGAGGAGGCAGAGGAGGACGGUCGAGGGAGGGCAAGAACAAGGCGGCUGCGUGCCGUCGGUGGAGGAGGCGUCCAUAAGGGUAGGGACGCUGUAUGAGAACGGCGAUCCACUAGGGCGGAAGGAGCUUGGCCGGUGUGUCGUGGAGUGGCUAAGGCAGGGGAUGCAGUCCAUGGCAUCCAAAUUCGCUUCCGCCGAGCUUCAGGGUGACAUGGCGGACCUCACCACAGCGGCAUUGACUCUGAAUUGGGGAUCGGCAGAAGGCCAGCUUGGGUUUGUGAUCCAGGCACAGCCUUAUCUCUCGUCCAUCCCCAUGCCCAAGGGUCUGGAGUCACUCUGCUUCAAGGCCUGUACGCACUACCCCACCCUUUUCGACCAUUUCCAGCGUGAGCUCCGUGCUGUCCUGCUGAGUUAUCAGAACCAGGGGCUCAUCUACGACUGGCGCUCCACGCAGACAUGGAAGCUGUUGAAGGAAAUGGCCAAUUCUACUCAUCACCGAGCAGCUGUGCGCAGGACGACACCACGAACUAAAGCGGUUCACAGUAGCAUUGGCAUAAGCUUAAAGAAGGUAAGGCUGAUGCAGGACAGGAUUGAAGACUUUGUGAAGCAUAUGUCAGACCUACUGCGCAUCGAGCGAGAUGCCGAGCUGGAGUUUACACAGGAGGAGCUGAAUGCCACCACUAUGCUCGACAACAAUUCCAAGCCAUCCAAGCCAGUUGAGUACUUGGUGACCCAUGGACAGGCUCAGCAGGAGCAGUGUGACACCAUUUGCAACUUGAGUGUCAUCAGCAGCUCAACUGGUUUGGGAGGCCUACAUUUGGUUCUAUUCAGAAUUGAAGGUGAACACAAGCUGCCUCCAACCACAUUGUCACCUGGGGACAUGGUUUGUGUGAGAACAUGUAAUAGCCGUGGUGAGGGAGCCACUUCUUGCAUGCAAGGCUUUCUUUAUAAUCUCGGGGAGGACGGUUGCAGCAUAACUGUGGCUCUGGAAUCUCGCCAUGGUGACCCAACCUUCUCCAGGUUAUUUGGGAAAAGUGUGCGCAUUGACCGGAUACAGGGAUUGGCAGAUGCACUUACUUAUGAGCGGAAUCUUGAAGCAUUGAUGCUACUUCAAAGGAAUGGUUUGCUGAAAAGUAACGCUUCCAUUGAUGUGGUAGCUACUCUGUUCGGUGACAGCAAAGAUGUCAUGAAGAUGGAGCAGAAUUGCCUGAUUGAUUGGGGUGAAUCAAGUCUACCUGAUCCAAGGCUAUCAGAGAGGUGUGCAUUUGAUGACUCCCAGUUAAGGGCUCUCUCAUUAGGCCUGAACAAGAAGAGGCAUGUUCUGGUCAUCCAGGGGCCUCCUGGCACGGGCAAGACAGUUUUGCUCACGGAACUCAUUGUACGUGCUGUCCGGCAGGGUGAAAGUGUCCUUGUGACAGCUCCAAGCAAUGCGGCAGUUGAUAACAUGGUUGAAAGGUUGUCAAGAACUGGCUUAAACAUUGUGCGAGUUGGAAACCCUGCUCGGAUAUCACCAUCGGUUACUUCGAAGUCCUUGGCAGAGAUUGUAAAUGGAAGGCUUGGUCAGUUUAGGAAGGAGCUUGAGAGAAAGAGAACUGACUUAAGAAAGGACUUGAGGGACUGCAUAGAGGACGAUUCUUUAGCUGCAGGCAUUCGUCAACUUCUGAAGCAACUUGGGAGGGAUCUGGAAAUGAAAGAAAAAGAAACGAUCAUGGAAGUGCUAUCUGAUGCACAGGUUGUGCUUUCUACUAACACAGGGGCAGCCGAUCCACUUAUCAGGAAAACUGGUUGUUUUGACUUGGUAAUUAUAGAUGAAGCAGGUCAAGGAAUUGAGCCCUCUUGCUGGAUUCCCAUACUGCAGGGAAAACGUUGUAUUCUUGCGGGUGAUCAUUGCCAACUUGCACCUGCCAUAUUGUCAAGGAAGGCCCUGGAAGGUGGGCUUGGCAAAUCUAUGAUGGAAAGGGCUUCAUUGUUGCAUGAUGGAUUACUUACUACAAGACUGACAGUCCAGCAUAGAAUGCAUGAUUCAAUAGCCAGUUGGGCAUCUAAAGAGAUGUAUCAGGGGUUACUCCAGUCUUCUCAUUCUGUUGCUUCGCAUCUUCUUGCCGACUCUCCAGUUGUAAAGGAUACUUGGAUAACACGGUGCCCACUGCUUUUACUUGAUACCCGAAUGCCAUAUGGAAUUCUAAACGUUGAUUGUGUGGAGCAUUUAGACCCUGCUGGCACAGGAUCAUUUUAUAAUGAUGGAGAAGCAGACAUAGUUACACAGCAUGUUCUCAAUCUUGUGCAUUGUGGAGUGUCUCCAAAUGAGAUAGCCAUCCAGUCACCCUACAUUGCUCAAGUUCAAUUAUUAAGAGAGAAGUUAGAAGAAUAUUCAGGGCUUUCCGGGGUUGAGGUUUCAACAGUAGAUAGCUUUCAAGGGAGGGAGGCAGAUGCGGUGGUCCUAUCAAUGGUUCGGUCAAACCCACUGGGAGCUGUAGGGUUCAUGGGCGACAGCAGGCUAAUGAAUGUGGCUAUCACAAGGGCACGCCGGCAUGUCACUGUGGUAUGUGACACCUCGACCAUUUGCCACAGCACCUUCCUCGCCCGGCUCCUCCGUCAUAUCAGGCGGUAUGGACAAGUAAAACAUGUUGCACCUGGUUCCCUAGAUGGGGUCUCAGGACUCGGCUUCAGCCAACCCACUCUCCCGUCUAUCAGCUAG
rnacentral:rRNA from 1 species